GCCGGGAUAGCUCAGCUGGGAGAGCAACAGACUGAAGUCGCGAUUGGCAUUCUGGAGGUCCCGUGUUCAAUCCACGGUCCUGGCA